UUAAGCGACUAAGCGUACACGGUGGAUGCCCUGGCAGUCAGAGGCGAUGAAGGACGUGCUAAUCUGCGAUAAGCGUCGGUAAGGUGAUAUGAACCGUUAUAACCGGCGAUUUCCGAAUGGGGAAACCCAGUGUGAUUCGUCACACUAUCAUUAACUGAAUCCAUAGGUUAAUGAGGCGAACCGGGGGAACUGAAACAUCUAAGUACCCCGAGGAAAAGAAAUCAACCGAGAUUCCCCCAGUAGCGGCGAGCGAACGGGGAGGAGCCCAGAGCCUGAAUCAGUGUGUGUGUUAGUGGAAGCGUCUGGAAAGGCGCGCGAUACAGGGUGACAGCCCCGUACACAAAAAUGCACAUGCUGUGAGCUCGAUGAGUAGGGCGGGACACGUGGUAUCCUGUCUGAAUAUGGGGGGACCAUCCUCCAAGGCUAAAUACUCCUGACUGACCGAUAGUGAACCAGUACCGUGAGGGAAAGGCGAAAAGAACCCCGGCGAGGGGAGUGAAAAAGAACCUGAAACCGUGUACGUACAAGCAGUGGGAGCACGCUUAGGCGUGUGACUGCGUACCUUUUGUAUAAUGGGUCAGCGACUUAUAUUCUGUAGCAAGGUUAACCGAAUAGGGGAGCCGAAGGGAAACCGAGUCUUAACUGGGCGUUAAGUUGCAGGGUAUAGACCCGAAACCCGGUGAUCUAGCCAUGGGCAGGUUGAAGGUUGGGUAACACUAACUGGAGGACCGAACCGACUAAUGUUGAAAAAUUAGCGGAUGACUUGUGGCUGGGGGUGAAAGGCCAAUCAAACCGGGAGAUAGCUGGUUCUCCCCGAAAGCUAUUUAGGUAGCGCCUCGUGAAUUCAUCUCCGGGGGUAGAGCACUGUUUCGGCAAGGGGGUCAUCCCGACUUACCAACCCGAUGCAAACUGCGAAUACCGGAGAAUGUUAUCACGGGAGACACACGGCGGGUGCUAACGUCCGUCGUGAAGAGGGAAACAACCCAGACCGCCAGCUAAGGUCCCAAAGUCAUGGUUAAGUGGGAAACGAUGUGGGAAGGCCCAGACAGCCAGGAUGUUGGCUUAGAAGCAGCCAUCAUUUAAAGAAAGCGUAAUAGCUCACUGGUCGAGUCGGCCUGCGCGGAAGAUGUAACGGGGCUAAACCAUGCACCGAAGCUGCGGCAGCGACGCUGAUGCGUUGUUGGGUAGGGGAGCGUUCUGUAAGCCUGCGAAGGUGUGCUGUGAGGCAUGCUGGAGGUAUCAGAAGUGCGAAUGCUGACAUAAGUAACGAUAAAGCGGGUGAAAAGCCCGCUCGCCGGAAGACCAAGGGUUCCUGUCCAACGUUAAUCGGGGCAGGGUGAGUCGACCCCUAAGGCGAGGCCGAAAGGCGUAGUCGAUGGGAAACAGGUUAAUAUUCCUGUACUUGGUGUUACUGCGAAGGGGGGACGGAGAAGGCUAUGUUGGCCGGGCGACGGUUGUCCUGGUUUAAGCGUGUAGGCUGGUUUUCCAGGCAAAUCCGGAAAACUAAGGCUGAGGCGUGAUGACGAGGCACUACGGUGCUGAAGCAACAAAUGCCCUGCUUCCAGGAAAAGCCUCUAAGCAUCAGGUAACAUCAAAUCGUACCCCAAACCGACACAGGUGGUCAGGUAGAGAAUACCAAGGCGCUUGAGAGAACUCGGGUGAAGGAACUAGGCAAAAUGGUGCCGUAACUUCGGGAGAAGGCACGCUGAUAUGUAGGUGAAGUCCCUCGCGGAUGGAGCUGAAAUCAGUCGAAGAUACCAGCUGGCUGCAACUGUUUAUUAAAAACACAGCACUGUGCAAACACGAAAGUGGACGUAUACGGUGUGACGCCUGCCCGGUGCCGGAAGGUUAAUUGAUGGGGUCAGCGCAAGCGAAGCUCUUGAUCGAAGCCCCGGUAAACGGCGGCCGUAACUAUAACGGUCCUAAGGUAGCGAAAUUCCUUGUCGGGUAAGUUCCGACCUGCACGAAUGGCGUAAUGAUGGCCAGGCUGUCUCCACCCGAGACUCAGUGAAAUUGAACUCGCUGUGAAGAUGCAGUGUACCCGCGGCAAGACGGAAAGACCCCGUGAACCUUUACUAUAGCUUGACACUGAACAUUGAGCCUUGAUGUGUAGGAUAGGUGGGAGGCUUUGAAGUGUGGACGCCAGUCUGCAUGGAGCCGACCUUGAAAUACCACCCUUUAAUGUUUGAUGUUCUAACGUUGACCCGUAAUCCGGGUUGCGGACAGUGUCUGGUGGGUAGUUUGACUGGGGCGGUCUCCUCCUAAAGAGUAACGGAGGAGCACGAAGGUUGGCUAAUCCUGGUCGGACAUCAGGAGGUUAGUGCAAUGGCAUAAGCCAGCUUGACUGCGAGCGUGACGGCGCGAGCAGGUGCGAAAGCAGGUCAUAGUGAUCCGGUGGUUCUGAAUGGAAGGGCCAUCGCUCAACGGAUAAAAGGUACUCCGGGGAUAACAGGCUGAUACCGCCCAAGAGUUCAUAUCGACGGCGGUGUUUGGCACCUCGAUGUCGGCUCAUCACAUCCUGGGGCUGAAGUAGGUCCCAAGGGUAUGGCUGUUCGCCAUUUAAAGUGGUACGCGAGCUGGGUUUAGAACGUCGUGAGACAGUUCGGUCCCUAUCUGCCGUGGGCGCUGGAGAACUGAGGGGGGCUGCUCCUAGUACGAGAGGACCGGAGUGGACGCAUCACUGGUGUUCGGGUUGUCAUGCCAAUGGCACUGCCCGGUAGCUAAAUGCGGAAGAGAUAAGUGCUGAAAGCAUCUAAGCACGAAACUUGCCCCGAGAUGAGUUCUCCCUGACUCCUUGAGAGUCCUGAAGGAACGUUGAAGACGACGACGUUGAUAGGCCGGGUGUGUAAGCGCAGCGAUGCGUUGAGCUAACCGGUACUAAUGAACCGUGAGGCUUAACCUU
rnacentral:rRNA from 1 species